rnacentral:rRNA from 1 species
UAACAAGGAUUCCCCUAGUAACUGCGAGUGAAGCGGGAAAAGCUCAAAUUUAAAAUCUGGCGGUCUUCGGCCGUCCGAGUUGUAAUCUGGAGAAGCGUCUUCCGCGCUGGACCGUGUACAAGUCUCUUGGAACAGAGCGUCAUAGAGGGUGAGAAUCCCGUCUUUGACACGGACUACCAGUGCUUUGUGAUGCGCUCUCGAUGAGUCGAGUUGUUUGGGAAUGCAGCUCAAAACGGGUGGUAAAUUCCAUCUAAAGCUAAAUAUUGGCGAGAGACCGAUAGCGAACAAGUACCGUGAGGGAAAGAUGAAAAGCACUUUGGAAAGAGAGUUAAACAGUACGUGAAAUUGCUGAAAGGGAAACGCUUGAAGUCAGUCGCGUUUGCUAGAACUCAGCCUUGCUUCUGUGAGGUGCAUUUUCUAGUGAACGGGCCAGCAUCAGUUUUGGCUGCCGGACAAAGGCCUCGGGAAUGUGGCACCUUCGGGUGUGUUAUAGCCCUUGGUCGUAUACGGUGGCUGGGACUGAGGAUCUCAGCACGCCUUCAUGGCGGGGGUUCGCCCACCUUCGUGCUUAGGAUG